GGCCCAGUGGUGUACUGGUAAAAUGUCCUCUUAUCUUAUGAAGGUACCUUUAUAUUGGAGGAAGUACCCUGUUCAAUUCGGGGCUGGGCCA